UGGGGAAUAUUGCACAAUGGGCGCAAGCCUGAUGCAGCGACGCCGCGUGGGGGAUGACGGCCUUCGGGUUGUAAACUCCUUUCGCUAGGGACGAAGCUUUUUGUGACGGUACCUAGAUAAGAAGCACCGGCUAACUACGUGACAGCAGCCGCGGUAAUACGUAGGGUGCGAGCGUUGUCCGGAAUUACUGGGCGUAAAGGGCUCGUAGGUGGUUUGUCGCGUCGACUGUGAAAUUCCGGGGCUUAACUCCGGGCGUGCAGGCGAUACGGGCAUAACUUGAGUACUGUAGGGGUAACUGGAAUUCCUGGUGUAGCGGUGAAAUGCGCAGAUAUCAGGAGGAACACCGAUGGCGAAGGCAGGUUACUGGGCAGUUACUGACGCUGAGGAGCGAAAGCAUGGGUAGCGAACAGG
rnacentral:rRNA from 1 species